rnacentral:rRNA from 1 species
GACCCUGGCUCAGGAUGAACGCUAGCUACAGGCUUAACACAUGCAAGUCGAGGGGCAUCAGUUUGGUUUGCUUGCAAACCAAAGCUGGCGACCGGCGCACGGGUGAGUAACACGUAUCCAACCUGCCUCAUACUCGGGGAUAGCCUUUCGAAAGAAAGAUUAAUAUCCGAUAGCAUAUAUUUCCCGCAUGGGUUUUAUAUUAAAGAAAUUCGGUAUGAGAUGGGGAUGCGUUCCAUUAGUUUGUUGGG